rfam:Rhodobacteraceae bacterium SB2 pfor_3, whole genome shotgun sequence.
AGAUCGGGAGGCUUUCGUUGGGUGAAAGCCAGGCAUUGAUCUUAUCUUGCGAUCUCGUAUGGGGGCGCGGCUGGUACCCGACAGCGCGCGCG